AACGCGAAGAACCUUACCAGGAUUUGACAUCCAACUAACGAAGUAGAGAUACAUUAGGUGCCCUUCGGGGAAAGUUGAGACAGGUGGUGCAUGGUUGUCGUCAGCUCGUGUCGUGAGAUGUUGGGUUAAGUCCCGCAACGAGCGCAACCCCUGUCGUUAGUUGCCAGCAUUCAGUUGGGGACUCUAACGAGACUGCCAGUGACAAACUGGAGGAAGGUGUGGACGACGUCAAAUCAUCAUGCCCCUUAUGCUCUGGGCUACACACGUGUUACAAUGGGUAGGACAGCGAGCAGCGAGACAGCGAUGUUAAGCAAAUCUCUAAAACCUAUCCUCAGUUCGGAUUGCACUCUGCAACUCGAGUGCAUGAAGUCGGAAUCGCUAGUAAACGCAGAUCAGCACGCUGCGUUGAAUACGUUCCCGGGUCUUGUACACACGC
rnacentral:rRNA from 1 species